AAAAAAUUCGGGCUUCUCCUUCCCUCAGCCUCUCUAUCUCUCUCUCAAAUUCAUUCUCUCUCAUCAACCCUCUCUCCUUUUAUUUUCUGAUCUUUCAUUCAGAGCUCCUUCGUUCUCUCUCAUCUCUCAUCCGCAUGCACCUCAGAUCUCUCUAAACUCUCAAAUCCUUCGUUCUUCUUCAAUUAUAGCAACCAAGCAAGGUAGUAUUACAACUAAAACAAUUGCUCAUAGACGAAGGAUUCAAGAUCCAAGGAUUUGGUGUUUUGUUGUUCAUUGUUACGUUUUUAUUUAUAUAAUUUUUUUAUAAAUUGUAAUAUAACAAUUUAUUUAAUAUAAUAUAUUCAUGUAUAUUAUGGUGUUCA